rnacentral:rRNA from 1 species
GACGAACGCUGGCGGCGUGCUUAACACAUGCAAGUCGAACGGAAAGGCCUGCUUUCCCUUGUGGAUUGCGGGUACUCGAGUGGCGAACGGGUGAGUAACACGUGAGUGAUCUGCCCCCAACUUGGGUAUAAGCCUGGGAAACUGGGUCUAAUUCCCGAUAGGACUGCAGGGUGGUUCCUGUGGUGGACAACGAUUUUCUAGUGGUUGGGGAUGAGCUCGCGGCCUAUCAGCUUGUUGGUGGGGUAAUGGCCUACCAAGGCGGCGACGGGUAGCCGGCCUGAGAGGGUGGACGGCCACAUUGGGACUGAGAUACGGCCCAGACUCCUACGGGAGGCAGCAGUGGGGAAUAUUGCACAAUGGGCGGAAGCCUGAUGCAGCGACGCCGCGUGGGGGAUGACGGCCUUCGGGUUGUAAACUCCUUGCGACCGCGAGGAAGCCACCUGGUUGGAAGGGUGGUGACGGUAGUGGUAGAAGAAGCACCGGCUAACUACGUG